UACGGAGGGUGCAAGCGUUAAUCGGAAUUACUGGGCGUAAAGCGCACGUAGGCGGUUCCAUAAGUCGGAUGUGAAAGCCCCGGGCUUAACCUGGGAAUUGCAUUCGAUACUGUGUGACUAGAGUUUGGUAGAGGCUAGCGGAAUUCCAGGUGUAGCGGUGAAAUGCGUAGAUAUCUGGAGGAACAUCAGUGGCGAAGGCGGCUGGCUGGACCAAAACUGACGCUGAGGUGCGAAAGCGUGGGGAGCAAACAGG
rnacentral:rRNA from 1 species